CCUCCAUCCUCCUGGAAAUGUUGAAUCUACAAUCAGAGAAGAAACAACUGAAUGUGACAGGCUGCUCACAUGAAGAGAGUGAAGUGAGGAGUUUCCUGCAGUGUCUGCCUUAUAUCUCACAGCUCAGUGUCAUUCCUCAGUUAUCAGAACCUUCAGAAGAAACCAGGUUCUUUAGGAAUC